UGAGAACGAGUGUUGGAAGCAAGUUCGCGAAAGAUGUCCAGGGCCGCAGCAGUCGUGAGCCUCUCUACACCCACCCAGCUGAUUUUCCAACGGCUUUGAAGUCGGCUUUACCUCCAGAAUCCACUGAUGACACCCAAUUACAUGAAAAUGGCUCCCUGUUCCCUAAAUGAUCUCGGUGUCCCUGUCUCAUAAUGAUGUUUGCGAACACCAAAUGAAACAUUUUCAAGAAAACUUCUGUGACUUGCUGUUUGAUAUGCUAGAAAUAGUAGUUUGAUAUGUUAAUGGUUCUGCUGAUCAAACAGCAAAGAAAUAUACCUUGAUGUGAAUGUCAUUUGAAUAUAAAAUAGGGGGGAAAAUGCAAUAAUAAAAAUAAAAACAACUAGAAUGAGGGUUGGGCAGGGCAGCACUGCAAAAUAUGAUUUUCUAAUAGUUUGGAAAGUUUGGAAUAAUUAGUAUUUUUAAAUGUUUUUGAAAGAAAUCUCUUUUGCUCACCAAGGCUGAAUUUAUUUGAUCAAAAAUACAGUAAAAAUGGUAAUAUUGUGAAACAUUACUUGUUCGGUUUUCUGCUGCUUGCAGACAGCCUAUUUUGAGGAGACAGCUGAUUACCAUUCAUUCGCCACUCUGAUUGCACUUGCAAAGUGCGAAUACACUGCAGGCUCACUCCUGCUUGAAUCCAAGGUAAAUACAUUAUAAUCAGCGACAACACAUGCGCAGGUUACUUUACUUCCUCAACAAGUGCGCGAAACGGGGCACGGUUCACAUGAAAAAUCGCUAAUGUGAAAGCUGUCAUGCGAACCCAGGUAUGCACCGGGGUACCAAACCCGAGACUACCUGAAGGCAGUGGUCUGAGUUCGGUUGCACUCAAACUGUGCCACGGUUCGCGUGAAUAUAAAAGCAACAUGGACUCGGGUGCGCAAUUGUUCAGGAAGUAAAGUAACCCGUGUAUGCGUUUUAGCAGAUUAUAAUGUAUUUACUUAAAUAAAACACAUGUAAGAGAUGACAGUGUUGAUGAUUUACCUUGGAUUCGAGCAGGAGUGAGCCUACAGUAUAUUCGCACUUUGCGAGUGCAUGCAAUCAGAGCGGCAAAUGAAGGGCAAUCAGCUGUCUCCUCAAAAUAGUCUGCUUGCAAGCAGCGGAAAACAGUCUACAUGUGACACACAUACAGUAAACCCAAGUGUCGUUUACACUGCUACACAUAGUAGCACCAAAUUAAUAAAAAACACAAUUUCUUUCCACUCCAGAAUCCACCACUUAACCCAUAGCUGCACCGAGCAUUUCUUCCUCCCCUGUCUAUGUUGCCAGUCCCAUGGUCAACCCAGUGCCCUACUCUGGCUUGGCGGAGGACUGCAAUGGAUUCUUACACAGAGAGAGCAAAGAUUACCUUCAUUCUCUCCUUGUUGACAUGGCAAGUUCUACAAUGGGCUGAAACUAUCUAGUAGCAGGCAGGUCCUACAACCCAACCCGCAACUUCAUUGUCCGUUUCAGAGAGAUCUUCAGUCGAUCCAUGGGGACUCUUCAGUUGGUAAGCAAUUAUACCAUUUAUGUCAAGGCAACAUUUCAUUCAAUGACUAUGCUUUGAAGUUUCGUACCCUAGCGCCAGCCAGUGGAUGGAACAAGCGUUCGCUUCUCACCACCUACCGUCAAAGUUUGGAGCCAGCUCUGCGGCUGCAUCUCUCAGUUUACAAUGACUCCAUUGGGCUUGAGCGUUUCAUUCAACUGUCCAUCCAAUUUGCCAAGUGAGUUAGAAAUUGUAUGGAAGACCGACAGUGCCAGCAGUCCUCCUUAUACCAUCUCCACCCAGAGUUUGCCAGCACACCAGAGCCAGGUCACAAGCCCAUCCAAAUUGAUCAUGCCCGACUUUCCCUGGCUGGAGGACAUGUCAUUCUGGCACGUCCAGUUCAACCUCCACAUCCCGUGUUACUGCCCUCAUCGAUUCUGGGUCAGACGGCAACUUCAUAUCAGGAGAUCUCUGUUGCCAUCUCAACCUCAAGAAGAGGUCUAUUGAAACCACCUAUCAAGUCCAGUUGGUAACUGGAAAACUGCUCAAAAAACCAUGUUCGUUUUUGUGUAGGACCUCUACAACUACGAGUAGGCUAGCUGCAUGUUUAAUCCAUCCAUUUCCUGGUUCUGGAGAUAUCCUCUGCUGGCAUUAUUCUUAGGUACCCAUUGCUUGUGACCCAUAAUCCCAUCCUGUACUGGUUCACUGGAGAAGUUCUGAAGUGGGGUGAUAAAUGCUUUCCUGGCUGUUUCCCUGUCCUUCCUAAGCUAUCUCCUCUCUGACCUAGAGUUCUAUCCCUAAACUCCACGUCUAUCGAGAGUACAGUGGAACACCAAUCUGUGGAUAUAUCAACCCGUUAUGCCCCCUUCAGUGAUGUUUUCUGCCCCAAAUGAGCCUCACAACUACUGCCUCACUGACCAUGGGACUGGCAAAAUUUACCCACUCUCCAUCCCAGAAGGCCAUGCAGGAGUAUGUAGAAGAGACUUUUCAGCAAGGCAAUAGCCACCCUUCCACUUCUCCUGCUACUUCCAAUUUUUUCUUAGUGACAAAGAAGGAUAGAGGCUUGAGGCCUUGCACUGAUUACUGGGCAUUAAAAAAGAUCACAGUUAAAUUCCAUUGUCUACUUCCCCUCAUUCCAGCAGCCUUGGAAUAACUAAGAGGAGCAAUUGUUUUCACUAAGCUGGACCUCCAAAGCGCUUAUAACCUCAUCCAGAUACGUGAGGGGGACGAGUGGAGGGCUGCUUUUGUGACUUGUAAAUUGCCCCCCUCUGUGGACUUCAUAACGAAUCUGCUCCUCUCAGAUGGAUUCACCUGUAUUCUUGUCAUAGUAGACAGAUUCUCCAAAGCCUGCCGUAUAAUCCCCCUCAAGAGACUCCCCACUGCCAUGGAAACAGCCGCACUGAUGUUCAAUAAUGUGUUUCACACAUUUUGGCCUCCCAGAAGACAUAAUGUCUGACCGUGGUCCACAAUUUAUUUCCCGUGUAUGGAAGGCCUUCUUCAACCUCUUAGUUGUGACUGUGAGCCUCUCCUUUGGAUAACAUCCUCAGACGAAUCAGAGACAGAGAGGAAAAUCCAGGAGAUAGGACGUUUCCUGAGAACCUUCUGCCAAGGCCAACAGAGCACCUGGAACCUUUUCCUCACCUGGACUGAGUACAGCCAAAACUCGUCACCCAUUGGUUCCGGGAGAGCGAGAGGGUCAGGGACGCAGCUUACCAUCAUCCUUAGAGGGCAGUGUGCCUUCAGAGGGUUCAUGUCGAUGACUGGUGGUCCAAUACUUCCACCUACCAGCCCGGGCAGAAGGUGUGCAUCUCCACAUGGGACAUCAAGCUGCACCUGCCCAGCAAGAAGCUUAGUCCCAGAUACAUUAGUCCCUUCCCUGUUAUCCAUCAAGUCAAUCCAAUCACCUAUGAGUUACCUAUGAGUUAUAGUAACAGUUACCCUCACACUAUAAAAUUCACCCCAACUUCCAUGUCUCUGCCAAUGAUCCUGGAUGACGGUACUGUCACGGUUUCACUAGGCUCCAUAUUCUCACACACCCAACGCUUACUCUGACCUGAAUCAGGAAACUGAAUCAAUUUCAUAUUGAUAAAUCCAUCAUGAUCCUUUUUUAUCACGCUUUUAUUGAGUCAAUUUUAUCAUUUGCGCUAGCACCUGGUUUGGGAACCUCACUUUGAAAAAUAAAAACUCGCUUAAUAAAAUAGUAAAGUGGUCCAGCAGGCUGAUAGGUGACCCGCAGCUUAAUGUGGAGACCUUGUAUACAAAACAGUUACAGCGCAUAACUAGUUCGAUUUUAAAUGACAGUUCACAUCCUUUGCACACAGAAUUCCAGCAUCUACCGUCAAGGCGUAGGUUUAGAAUCCCCAGGUGUAGAACAAAAAGACACAAAAAUAGUUUUGUUCCAGCAGCCAUUACUUUGAGGAAUGAGUUAUAGCUUAUUGUGUACUUGGUUUUUAUGUAUUUUACUUUCUAUUUGUGUAUGAGGAGUCAUGUAUGUAUUAUUUAUUCUGGACCGACAAGAACUUUUUGAUGAUGUAGUUUUUUAUGUGCUUUGUUUCAUAUGUGUGUAUGAGGACUCUACUGCAAACAAAAUCUACCUUCGGGUAUAAAUAAAGUAACUUGAACUUGAACUUGAACUUGAAUACUGAUCACCUGCAACUGUUCCCCAUCAGCAUGUCAAUCAGCACUCCAUUCUGCACUAUAUAAAAACACACACCUCGACUCAGUGAUUGUCUGGUGUCAUCUAUGGACAACGGACCCUAAGAUUCUUAAGCAUACUCCUUGUGAUUCUUCCAGCAAUCUCCUUCUGAAUCCACUCCUAAGGUGUAAUUACGAGAUUUCAACUUGUAAAAUGCAUUCACAUUCUCGUAGAGCUCGUAAGACGGAAAUUUUCUGAGAGCUCUUACCUGUCUCACGUGACCACUGUACCACCUGACUGCUGCAGAUUCAUUUAGGCGUUUGCCACUUUUUCAUGAAAGCAGUGGUUUUAUCUUGCUAAUGGUGGAUCCCCUUCAUUGUUAGAGCGUGCAUUGGACAAUUUUUAAGGCACGGUGAAUUCCUGCCUUUUCUUCAGGCAUUGAUAUUGUUGCCAUAGAAAUGCAUAAUUCCCAGUCCAAGGAUGUGAACAGCUCUGAAUAGAAAGCCAAACGCAGCUUGAACACUGUUAUCCCUUAUGAAAAAGUAUACUUCAAGUUCAUUUUAUCAAGUAUACUUAAGUACUGUUCAAGUAUUUUUUUAUAUACUUUAUGUAGUAAGUAAACUAGUAUCAAUGUACAAUGUACUAGUAUACUAGUAUCAAAGUAAACUUGUAAAUGUACUAUUUUAAUACCACUUGGAACUAAAUUGGCCCAACUGAAGUAUAUGUUUAAGUGUACUAUAGCUAAGUAGUAAACUUUAAGUAGGGCUUACACAACUAGUUCACAAUUACGUUUCUCAUUUGUACUGCAUCUGUGAUACUAGUAUACUAGUAGUUUACUAUUUUAUACUAGUAGUACAUUUUUUAGUAUAUGAAAGUACACUUUGAAAUAUACUCUCAGUAAACUACUAGUUUAGUGUAAGUAUAUUUGUAAGUUUUCUUUUAAGUGAACUUAACAUCACACAUAUAGUUUAUA